rfam:Oikopleura dioica, whole genome shotgun assembly, reference scaffold set, scaffold scaffold_7
GCCCGGUUAGCUCAGUCGGUAGAGCGUUGGACUUUUAAUCCAACGGCCGUGGGUUCAAGUCCCACAUCGGGCG